rnacentral:misc_RNA from 1 species
CGCACCUUGCGCCCCUUGGCAUUCCGAGGGGCACGCCUGUUCGAGUGUCGUGAACUCCUCCACCCUCUACCUUUUUCGAAAGGCAUUGGGCUGGGAUUUGGGAGCUUGCGGGUCCCUGGUCGAUCCGCUCUCCUUGAAUACAUUAGCAGAGCCCCUGCGGCCCCGGUGUGAUAGUAUCUACGCCUUGGCUUAGCGCAUAUGGUGGGCACGGCUUCCAACCGUCUUGCAAGGGACAACGACUACCAACUUGACCUCGAAUCAGGCGGGACUACCCGCUGAACUUAA